rnacentral:lncRNA from 1 species
CUCUGAUUUUAGAUGUCUGGAACUCAGCUGGGAAGGCUCAAAAACUGAGGGAGACUUGAAGAGCUGAUGGCUGGAAUCAUCUGGAGACUUCUUCCCUCACAUAUCUGCUUUUGACUUCCUGCCCCUUGAAAUGUCAUGACACCUGGGAUGAUAUAGUCUUCUAAUUCUUCUUGCACGUCUCCUGGGGCUCUUUCUCUGUGGCUCCUCGUUCUCCUCCUGCCCUCUCAGUAUAGAGGUUAUCCAAGAAUCUGAUCUUGAGACCCUCAUUCUCAAAGCCCGGGUCCCGAAGACCAAAUCCUCAUCUUUGACCCUAUUUCAAGGUUAGUACUUCAUUUCCAACGGAUACCUUUUUCUUCCAAAGUCAUACUUCAAACUAGUAGAGGAGAGGGAACUUCAACUGUGUCCUUCAGUUUCCCACUGAAGAUUAUAAAAAUCUAUAUAAUUGGAAAUCUAGGGAGACACACGAAACAUAAUUUAUCAGGGAUAGGAUUCUUAUAGAGAACUAAAUUUCUAUUGAGGGAAUUAGGGAGAGUUUGGAAUUUGGCUUAAAAUAUCCAUUCUUAAAAUUAAUCUUGUGCUUUUUUUUUUGCUAGCCUAUACGAUAUUCAUUUUUAUGUCUUGAAUAAUUCAUGUACCACUGACCAGCACAAUAAAAUAUUUCACUUUAAGCAUACAUCUGCAUUUUGUAACUCAGCUCUCAAUUCUAAUUACUACAGUCAAUUUCUGUUUCUCGAUUGGAAGAGGACUCCUACAUAGAAGUGAACAACAGAUAAUGAACUCCAUUAAAUAGGGCUGGCUGAGUUGGGCUUCCUGAGAAGAUUUAAGCAUAAAUCGAAUUUUCUUUCCAGAGUUAGAAGUUUCAUCAACUCUUAGGUAGGCAAAAGUUUAUCCACAGAUUUGGCAGCCUUUGAGAUAAGGAACAUACCUUACUGUCUUCCCUCCUUUUCUCUUUCGUAAUUCUCCUCCAAGCUCAGGAGCUGUCUGUGACCCAGAAAGGAGAGAAAGGCUCUCCCCUCCUGCUCGAUCCUGG